CCUCUAGCCGGUGGGAGGAGGAAAGAUAAAGGCCGGAGAUGGAGUAGCUGAGCCGAGGGUGCGGCUUGUUUCUCCUUCCUGGUUGGGUCCUACGUGGGGCCUUCCCUGUUUGGAUAACGAUGCUGGUUAUCCAUCGGACGAGAGGCUGGAGGUUUUGAAAAGCACGUGAAGCUGAAAGGACCCGGCAGUCUGUCAGAGUCCUGUCAAUAGUAGAACAUGGAGGCACUUGGUUCAUUCGGUAAGGGCUUAGAAGCCUGUGGAGUGUUUGCGGCUUGACUUAGAGCAAGUACGAUUCGGAAUCCGUGCAUUGGGAAUGUGAGAGAACACUCCAGUGUGGGGUAGUUUUAGAGGGCAGGAUGGAUUUUUAUACAAAGUCCGCUUUCCCCGUUCCUGAUUACCCCUUCUUACCAAUGCACAGAGGAAACGUCUAUUGGAGGACAAUUAGACUUCGGUGGGAUUGAGUAAAAGUCGUAGAAGACGUGGGAUUCAGUCCCAGCAGUAGCACUACCGAAUCUUGGUCAAGUCACUUCCUCUAAGCCUGUUUGUCAGAGAAGUGUGUGGUAAUGGACUUUGCCAAGCCCACAGACUGUUGAGAAGAUUGGAUGAGAUUAUCAUGUUAAAAAACAAACAAACAAACAAAAACUGCAAUUUCUAAGACAUGAGUCUUAGCAGACAUUUCCUAUGUGCCGGAAACAGUUGGACAAUGGUAAUAAAAAGAAAAAAUCAUUUGUCGUGUAGCCUAGAAAAGAAAGCAAACAUGUAAGACAAACCCAAGCACAAGGGAGCGACUGCUAUAAUAAAGCGCUAAGUGUAAAACAGCUGGUAACACAGCAGAGGAAGCCAGUCAUUCUGCUGUGGAGUAGGGAAAUUUGAAGAAAGGGGAGUAUCAGAGAAGGCUUGUGAAAAGAGAUGUUACUUGAACUGGGCCUUGAUGUGUAAAUUCUGUAUGCCAAUGGAAAAGCAUUCCAACCAGAGGAUGAGCUAAAACAAGGUGGUGUGAAAACGCAUGCCAAGAAACUCAGGGUAGCUAGAAGGUAAAGUUCAUGGAAGUGGAGUGACUAGAAAGGAUGAUUCAGCCAGAUUAUUUUGAGACUAUGUUAACAGUUGUAUAACUACUUAUCAGGAAAAAUGAUUCAGUUCUUACUAUAGACCACCAUUUGAAAGCACAAAAGAAAAAUAAAGCACCAAGCCAUAGCACUAGGUUGCCAGUCCAAUUUGCCCUGGAUUGUGCAGGUUCCUGUGAUAUGAAACUUCCUGCUUUAAAACCUGGAGAGUCCCAGGAAAGAUGGGUUUGCCUGGCCUUUGGAUCAACUGGCCUCACCUCCUUUGGAUAAGAGAUUCUGCUGGGCUAAGUCCUCAGACACUGGUGUACUGAUAGAAUUGAAUUUGUCCUAAGAAAUUCUGCACCUCGUGGAGCCCAGCUGACUCUGCAAGGGAGAGAAGAGCCGGGGCAGGGAGCAGUCAGAGCAUGGAGCAAGAAGUACCUUCAGAUGAUUGUCAAGGUCCCAGAGGGGAAGUAGUGCCGAAAAAAAUAAGUAUAAUGGGGACCAAUUAGAAUAAGACAAUGCUCAAAGUCACUGAUAUUUCAUCAAAGUUCACACAGAAUCAUAAGCCUUAGAACUGGGUAACCUUUCAACCUUAACAGACAUUUUUCAAAAGAGGAAAUCCAAAUGGCCAACAGACACAUGAAAAAAUGCUCAGGAUCCCUAGCCAUCAGGGAAAUGCAGAUCAAAACCACAAUGAGGUUUCACCUCACCCUGGUUAGAUUGGCUUACAUACAGAAAUCAACCAACAACAGAUGCUGGCGAGGAUGUGGGGAGAAAGGGACACUAAUCCACUGUUGGUGGGAAUGCAAACUGGUAAAGCCACUAUGGAAGACAGUGUGGAGAGUCCUCAGAAACCUGAAUAUAGCACUACCACAGGACCCAGCCAUCCCACUCCUUGAAAUUUACCCAAGUGGAAUUAAAGGGGAGAAAGAGCCAUUUGCACCUCGAUAUUUGUUGCAGCUCAAUUCACAAUAGCUAAGACAUGGAAUCAACCUAAAUGUCCAUCAACGGAUGAAUGGAUAAAGAAACUAUGGGAUAUGUACUCUAUGGAACACUAUACAGCAGUAAAAAACAAUGAAAUCCGGGCAUUUACAAUAAAAUGGAGGAAGCUGGAAAACAUCAUGCUGAGUGAAAUAAGCCAGUCCAAAAGGGACAAAUAUCAUAUGUUCUCCCUGAUCGAUGGCAACUAAACGAGCAUCUAAAAUGAUACCCAUUGAAGUGAAAUGGACACUAUGAGAGACAAUGACAUGAUCAGCCCUUGUCUUGACUGUUGAGGAACAACUUACUAUUUUAUUUCUUUUAGUAUUUUUUUUGUUGUUGUUGUUGUUGCUAAGUGAAAUGGACACUAUGAGAGACAAUGACAGGAUCAGCCCUUGUCUAGACUGUUGAGGAACAACUUACUAUUUUAUUCCUUAAAAAAAAAAAAAAGAA